rnacentral:lncRNA from 1 species
AGAAUGUCUGCUUUCCUACCAGGAAGAGUGGCUUGGCCCUCUGCUGAGGCUCUCAGAGGUUCUCCCAGCCUUGGGAUCGCUGAGUAAAACCAGUCAGCACCAUGUCACCCUAUGGAGACUGGCCUCCAUCCCUGGGAUUUGCUGGUAGAAGAAAGGGAAUCAGCGCUGACUGAGCUCCUACUAUGUGCCCUUCCUGGGCCUGGCACUGGAAUCACAGGAUGAAUGAAUAAGGCAUAUUUCCUGCCCUGAGGAGGCGUCUAUAGGGGAAGUCGGAAUUAAGGCACCUCCAGAAUUCUGAGGUCAAGGGAAUGUCAACAGAGCUGUGAACAAAAUGCCCAAAGCCAUGAAAAUCUACAGAGAGAGACUCGAAGGGGAGGAAUGGGGUAGGAGCUGGUGCCGAGGAUGAGAGGGGAGAAUUCACCUGGUGGAGAACUGAUAGGCCAGGCUGAGGUCGGGAUGGUGGAGGAGGUGGUGGAGGUGAUGAGGUACCAGAGCAACCUCGAAGAAAGCUGAGAGGCAGGAGACCGCCAAAGGCAAACUUGGAACACCUGGUGACUCCGACUAACUCUCCAUGUGGUGUCCUUGAGGACUUUUAUGAUACUGCUACCACUGCUAAUAGUAAUAAAAGCCACUAUUUAAUGUGUUUACUAUGCGCUGGGUGUGCAAAUAUUGUGGAAAGAGUGAACAUAUGUGCAGAAUGCUUAAUAAACGUGAUCUCCUUUUAUCUUCAAAAGAACAAUACAGGCCAGGUGCGGUGGCUCAUGCCUAUAAUUCCAGCACUUUGGGAGGCCGAGGCAGAUGGAUUGCUUGAGCUCAAGAAGUUUCAGACCAGCCUGGGCAACAUGGCAAAACCCCAUCUCUACAAAAAAAUACCCAAAAAAUUAGCCAGGUGUGAUGUUGCCUGCCUGUGGUCCCAGCUACUCCAGAGGUUGAGGUGGGAGAAUCGCGUGAGCCCAGAAGGUCAAGGCUGCAGUGAGCUGUGAUCCUGCCACUGCACUCCAGCCUGGGGUGACAGAGUGAGACCCUGCCUAAAAAAAAAAGAAUCAAUACGAUUAAUACUUUUACUUCUAUUUUUCAGACAAGGAAAUUGAGGCUCAGAGAGGUUAGGAACUUGCCAGAAGACCUACCAGCAAGUGGCAGAGCUAAGGUCCCAUCUGACCCCAAAGCCCACCCAUAACCGCUAUGCAGUACUGUCCAGGCAGAAACACAAACAUUACCCCAUUGUUUUUAUUCUUCAACACCUUUGGUAUCAUCCAGUCCCAGGACACUGGCUCCUGAGGAAGGAAGGCCCCUCCCACAUCCUUUAAAAUUCCCAGGCAUAAAACCAUGUUCACCAGCCACCGUGAGGGUAAGCCUCAGAGACAGGGACCGUGCCCACAGCCAAAGCAAACUUGCCACAUCCUCGGCCAAUGCCCUGCCAAGGAGGGCCACUAGCUAUUUUUCAUGCCUCAAACUCCCACUCUAUCACAGCACCCAGAGCUUGGGGAUGGGGUGAGUUGUCCCCCCAGACAACUCUCUACCGUGGAGAGACUGGGCCAGGGGAAGUAGAGAGAGGAAGUAGACCUUAGAUAGAGGAGCGAAUGUGGGUGGCUAAGCACUGUGGGUGUGAAGGGAUGGUUGGGAGGCCCUGGGGACUUUCCCCGGAGGCUGAGCUACCCAAUUUACUCCCCAACCCACCACAGGCAGGCACGCACACCCAUAAUUUCAGGCGAGACGAGGCAGGCCUCUGAGAACAGCACUCCAACAGGCUUUAUCUGAGUGCUCAGCUGGACUCAGAAAUCAGAGCGCCUCCCCCAACCUGCCCCAGGACAGUGAAGGCUCCAUGAUGAGCCCUGAGUUCUCAUCGCAGUUUCUCUUCCUUUUCUGUUUUUUUCUUGGCCUCUGCCUGGCAGGAGGCCUCUGGAAACCCUCGUUUUUCAGGCUGCUUCUCCGUCAGCCCCUAGGCCAGACCUUUUUAUUUGACUGGUCUGGGGAAGACAUGGGGAGGCCACUUGGCUAAUGAGAAGCCAGUCGCCUUACAGCAGUGCCUCUUCUGAGACUUUCUGGGAUUCUCUGGAAACACAGAUGCCAGUUUUUCUUUUUAUUUGCUUGUUUCAGGACAGAAGAGAUUGAGUUUCAAUAGGAGAUGUGAUUGUCUUUAAACACCUAUGGGAAAAUCCCUGGGCUCUGCAGUAAAAAUACACACCAUGGCUGUCCAUGUCAUAUGCGUCCUUGACACCACCAGGCAAAAUGCACAGGCUGUGAAACACAUUUGGACGCCCAAAGAGCAGGUCCUCCAGAGCACAAACACCUGCACCCACCCCAGGACAGAAGUGCUCAGGCAGGUGUCACCAGCGCAGCCCCUGGCCCCCGACUUUCCCCACUCCACACCCCCAUUCACACAGAAGGGCAAAGACAGCCCACAACCUUGGCUGGCUGCGCUCAGUCCUUGGCUCCAGCUGCCUGGGCAGGGGUUAACGAGGCAGGCGCGGCCACUCCCUCCCGCCACCUGCCACCCACCGCCUCCCUCCCGCGCCGCGUCACUUGUUUUUCUGCUGGGCUUUCCCGCCUCCCGCCGGCCGCUGACGUGGACUGGGGGCGUCACAGCCUCUACCUCAGCUGCCGGGAAGUGCUUCCCUUAUAUGGGCACAGACUCCGGAGGGGCCGGCAGGGCAGGGGCGCUCUUGGGGAGGGCAACAGCUGCCAGCCAUCAAGGGCCAGGCUCUCCUCUCCCAAACAAUGCCCAGGCCGGGGCAAAGGUGACCCGCAUUUGGAAAAGGGAGGCCAGCCUCCCUGUCUCCUCUCAAGAGCCAGAGCCCAGGCGGGCAGCCUUCCCAGACGCUGUCGCUCUGCAUCCUCCCUCUUUGGGUUUCUCAUGAAAUGUGCAGAGCUAGAUUGAAAUGCAGAUGACCAGGUGGCCUUUCACUGAUGCACUCUGAUAGUCCCUGAAUGCUCUGCAUCCCAAAGUCUACGGCCGGAAGGCUGUGAUGCUAGGCCACUGUUGGGUGGUAGAAAGGACAUCCUUGCCUCUGCCUUGGGGCCUUAAAUUUGUCUCAUAAUUCUUCAGGCCCCAGCUUCCUUCUCCAUAAAAUAUGGAGGAUACUGCCCUCGAGCCUUGUAAGGACUAGAUGAGUGUUCUGCUUGGUGUAAAACAGCUUUGCAAGCUGUAAAGUGCUAUUCAGACUUACAGGUGGUCACUUGGUGCCAGGGAGGAGGAACCUGUUCAGGAGCCCCCUCCAGAACCUGCCUUUCCCGGGCCACACCCAUGUGCUGUGAGAAUGCCCUUUGACCCUGUUGAAAAGCUUAAGCUGUGUAAAUAAAGUCAUCUGGAGUUUGCCUCUUGUGUGUACUGUGGCGAGCUGUUUGUCUGGGGCCUCUGUUAGUAAGCAAGUGGUGAGCAUGCUGGAGAUGAUCCUUCCAGCAGGGAGGGGAACCGCGGGUGAGCGGUCAUCGUGCAAACGCCUCGCACAGUACUGGACACUGUGCAGCACAUGACUGUCUUCUGUUGCUGCUAGUAAGAACUCUUUCCUUCCAAAUCCAGCUCAGCUCAAAACUCCCAGGCCCAACAAGCUAUUUCCUGCUGACACCUUCACUCCAACUCCUUGGUUAAUUGUGAAUCGUGUUUGUGCAGUGUGGCUCUGCCCAUAUUUGCCUGUCUCCUGGCAGCUUUGCGUCUGUGUCCUCGAUGUGGAUGCUUCUCCCUCCUUGGGAACUUGCAGCGUCCUGUGGGCAGGAACCGUUUCUCCCCAGUCAGAAUGAAGAACCCACACUCUCUACCUCUGAGGGUGGGGACUAAAUCUCCUUCCUCUUAUCACUCUAGGACAAAGACGACAAAAGGUAUCCAGAUCACGAGGUCAAGUGAUUGAUUUGUGACCCAUGUGACCCAUACAUAAAUGGCAGUGAGCCAUAGGGCCAGCCAGACAUGGUAAAUUUCUGCAGCAUUUCUCCUCCCCACUCAUUGGCUUCAACGAGCCCCCACGGAACCCUCUCUCAGGGAGGACUGUGCUAGGUAGCCAAGAAGUAGACUGCACAGUGGGCAGGCAGGUAUCCUCCCUUUGGAGAUGGUUGUCCUCAUUAAACAUCAGGUAUUUGAAGGUGACACCUAAUUCCAUGCUCCCAGUGGGUAAACUGUUCGUCAGCUGUGCCCAACUGCUCUUUAGGUGCUGGGCAAGAUUGGUUCAAUGUUUUAUUCGAAGAUCGAUGAGUGAUCCAAUA